rnacentral:misc_RNA from 1 species
CACCCCUUGACUGCAUAGAAGCUUUUGAAUCUGAUUUAAUCCCAUGAAUCACAAUAUAUUUGCCUUUCUGUGCACCAACAUUCUUAUAUUUUGCCUCUACAACCUCCCUAACCUUUCUUGAGAUUGAAACUUUAAGUGGGGGUAAAGGUUGUCGAGGUACUUUACGAGCUGGUCUGCCCAACCAAUCAACCAUCUGACGGUACAUAUGAUAUCCGCCCUCGGAGAGG